rnacentral:tRNA from 1 species
GCCCCGGUGACGGAACGGAAGACGUGAUGGAUUCAAAAUCCAUUGUCCGAAAGGGCGUGUGGGUUCAACUCCCACCCGGGGCA